ACUCCUACGGGAGGCAGCAGUGGGGAAUUUUGGACAAUGGGGGCAACCCUGAUCCAGCCAUGCCGCGUGCAGGAAGACGGCCCUAUGGGUUGUAAACUGCUUUUGUAUGGGAGCAAUAAGGUCUAUGCGUAGACUGAUGAGAGUACCAUACGAAUAAGGAUCGGCUAACUCCGUGCCAGCAGCCGCGGUAAUACGGAGGAUCCGAGCGUUAUCCGGAUUUAUUGGGUUUAAAGGGUGCGCAGGCGGGAAAUUAAGUCGGCGGUGAAAUUUUGCAGCUCAACUGUAAAAGUGCCUUCGAAACUGG
rnacentral:rRNA from 1 species